rnacentral:rRNA from 1 species
AGCAGCCGCGGUAAUUCCAGCUCCAAUAGCGUAUAUUAAAGUUGCUGCAGUUAAAAAGCUCGUAGUUGAAUUUCGGGACUAAUAUGUCGGUCGUGCCUCGGUACGUACUGGUAUUUUUGGUUUCUCCCUUCUGACGAACCUUGAUGUCAUUAAUUUGGCGUCUUGGGGAAUCAGGACUGUUACUUUGAAAAAAUUAGAGUGUUUAAAGCAGGCUCACGCUUGAAUACAUUAGCAUGGAAUAAUGAAAUAGGACGUUUGAUUCUAUUUUGUUGGUUUCUAGGAUCGACGUAAUGAUUAAUAGGGAUAGUUGGGGGCAUUAGUAUUCAAUUGUCAGAGGUGAAAUUCUUGGAUUUAUUGAAGACUAACUACUGCGAAAGCAUUUGCCAAGGAUGUUUUCAUUAAUCAAGAACGAAAGUUAGGGGAUCGAAGACGAUCAGAUACCGUCGUAGUCUUAACCAUAAACUAUGCCGACUAGGGAUCGGAUGAUGUAAUUUUUAAUGACUCAUUCGGCGCCUUACGG